rnacentral:rRNA from 1 species
CCUACGGGGGGCAGCAGUGAGGAAUAUUGGUCAAUGGACGAGAGUCUGAACCAGCCAAGUAGCGUGAAGGAUGACUGCCCUAUGGGUUGUAAACUUCUUUUAUAUGGGAAUAAAAUGUUCCACGUGUGGGAUUUUGUAUGUACCAUAUGAAUAAGGAUCGGCUAACUCCGUGCCAGCAGCCGCGGUAAUACGGAGGAUCCGAGCGGUAUCCGGAUUUAUUGGGUUUAAGGGGAGCGUAGGUGGAUUGUUAAGUCAGUUGUGAAAGUUUGCGGCUCAACCGUAAAAUUGCAGUUGAAACUGGCAGUCUUGAGUACAGUAGAGGUGGGCGGAAUUCGUGGUGUAGCGGUGAAAUGCUUAGAUAUCACGAAGAACUCAGAUUGCGAAGGCAGUUCACUGGACUGCAACUGACACUGAGGCUCGAAAGUGUGGGUAUCAAACAGGAUUAGAUACCCUUGUAGUC